GUCCUUUUGAUUAUAAUUUAAGGUCUGGCCUGCCCACUGAGGAAUUAAAGGGCCGCAGUAUUUUGACUGUGCAAAGGUAGCAUAAUCAUUAGUUUUUUAAUUGAAAGCUGGAAUGAAGGGUUAGAUAAGGAAAAAACUGUCUCAAUUUUAUUGAUUUAGAAUUUUAUUUUUAAGUUAAAAAGCUUAAAUAAUUUUAAAAGACGAGAAGACCCUAUAGAGUUUUAUAUAAUAAAAAUUUUUGGAUAUUUAGGUUAUUUAAUUUUUAAGUUUUAUUUAUAUUUGAUUGGGGUGAUUAUAAAAUUAAACUAACUUUUAUUUUAUUAUAACAUUAAUUAAUGAUUAUUUGAUCCUAAAUUAUAGAUUAAAAGAUAAAAUUACCUUAGGGAUAACAGCGUAAUUUUUUUUUAGAGUUCUUAUCGAAAAAAGGGAUUGCGACCUCGAUGUUGGAUUAAAGUAAAUAUUUGGUGAAGAAGCUAAAUUAUUAGGUCUGUUCGACCUUUAAAACUUUACA
rnacentral:rRNA from 1 species